GACUAGUGAGGAAGGGGUGACUAGUGACAGAGUGAGGGAGGGAAGGGGGUGACUAGUGACAGUCACCACCUCCUUCACUCUGUCACUAGUCACCCCCUCCCUCACUCUGU